rnacentral:lncRNA from 1 species
UUGAAAUCAACAAACACUACUACUCUUUCUCUAUAAUCUCAUCACAUAUUAUCUUUUACUUCUCUCUUUGCUGUUCCGCACUACUAUUCUCUCUCUCUUUCUCUUAUCUCCUCUCACCCACCACCCUCUUCAACCCCUUUCAAUUCCCUUUGCUUUUAACUUACAACAAUUGAUUUAGCUCCGUCUCUUCUCAAGCAACCAUGUUGUCUCUUGUUUCUUACAUUCUCGGCCUGUUGCCUCCUCCGCAACACAAACACUUUUCUCUCUUAACCUAAAUUAAUACCCCCUCUUUACUUUAAUUUCCCCUCAACCUUUUAUUACCUUUUCCUUCUUCUCUACUAUAUAUAUAUAUAUAUAUAUAUAUAUAUAUAUAUAUUCUAAGUAACCAAUAUUCAACUUAUGAGAUGACUGUUUCUUAAUUAUUUAUCUCAGGUCAUGCUUAAGGUGGUACGCCGGAUUCAGUACUCCUUCUAAGGUAGUAGUAGUAGUUCUAGGGCCCAUCUCUUUAUUUCCAGCUUUCUUCUUCUAAUUUGUUACCACUAAUUCUUCAUCACCUUUUGUUUUUCCUUUUCUUUUUUCUCUACACACACACACUCUCUCUCUCUCUCCAAAUUAGAUUAGUAUUUUGAUUAAGUCUAAACAUAGAGUUUUAGUUGCCUUAUCUCUUAGAAGAAGGAUAUUCGAGCUAGCUAGGUUACAUAGAUUUAGUUAAACAGACUUCUCAACUUCUAUUUUCAUGUUAUGUUAUGUGUGUAAACUUAGAUGAAGAAGAAAGAUUAUUAGGGUUUUGUUAAUUAUUAGUGUUUUAGGUUUAUAAGCAAAAAGUUAAUUAGGGUUUUAGUUAAAAAUGGCAUUAGCUGGUGAGGAUAAGGAAAUGAGAAUGCAAGGGUCAUUAGGGUAUCAUUCACUUGAUCAAAACUUAGAUCAAGGUAACCACCACCACCACCACCAACCGAACAACAAUANNNNNNNNNNNNNNNNNNNNNNNNNUUCUUCAGCCACAACAAGAUCAUGAAAAAUCAUCCUCGGGUGCAGCUCCAGUUGUACCAUAUUCCAGUGGCGGAUCUACUAAUAAUAAAUUUAAAAUAACAUCACGAGCAAGGUAUCGUGAAUGCCUGAAGAAUCAUGCGGCCAGCAUUGGUGGUAAUGUUACUGACGGAUGUGGUGAGUUUAUGCCUUGUGGAGAAGAAGGAACGCUCGAGGCGUUGAAAUGUGCUGCUUGUAAUUGCCACCGUAAUUUU